CACUUCAAAUUCCUUUCCACAAGCCAGCCCUGAAAAAGGAUAUAUUAGAGCCCAUCUUUGUGCUCAAUUCAUCCACCACUGAGAUGCUACUUCUAUUCUCUAACAUGAACAUAUCAUGUAUGUGUCCAUAAAUUAUCAAUAAUGGAGGCGGGGAAUCAGCCUGGUAUUAACAGCUAACAACGUUAUUGCAACUAUUUUUGGACAAUGUUACAUGCUCCAGUAUUAUAUUUAUUUUGAGAGAGGUUAAAAAGAAAACGGUCAAUCAAAACUUUCUUCUACUCCGAACUAGUACAGUAGGGUGCCUCCAGGAGGUGUAAAAAUAUUGAUGUAGUUCACACUAUGGGGGGAAAGUACAUUCACAAUUAGCAGUAUCCCUGAAGCCAAUUUCCCGCACUGUUGGAUGUCCUUUCUCCAAUGCUACAUGGGGUCUAAUUUUAAGAACAUACAAGAAUUUAUCAGAAGUUUUCUAUGGGUCAAAAGAAAGAGAGUUGCUUUUAAUAAGAACCAAAGCUUUUCUUCUCGGAGAGUAAUGAGACCUUUUGAUAUUUGCAUUUUCUUUAAUUUGCUCUGAGCUUUGUUUCGGAAGCAGAAGGAGAGGGGGAAUCCUUGCAUUUCAUGUAUACCCCCACUCCAAAGUUAUGCAUUUGUAGAUACAUUUUCUCUAAUAAUAUUGAUUCUACACACACACACACACUCUUUUCGAGGGUUCUUUUUUGGCGAACUGCAUUGCAAAAUUAAGAGAAGUGCAAAUUUCAAAAGAUAGGCCUGUUUCUGUUCAUGAAUUAUUCUGGGGGUGUUCUAGAUAGGUUGUUUCAUGCGAAAAUGUGACCUAAACCAGAUUUCCUUCCUAUAUCUGGCUUGCUGUGAUCCAUACGUGGGCUGCAUUUAACUUUGUAGAUGACAAGUUGUGUGGGCCCAUUCCAAACAGCUGGACCACACAAGUAGUUUGAUUGUACACAAUAAAAGCAAUACUUUUAAGAGAGCAGCAAAGCACACAGAACAUUCCUCCCUAAUCCCUCCAAGGCUUUCUGAACUUACUGUUUAAAAAGUGUGAUGCAAAUAGGAUAAUCUUUGACAUUUUGCUUCUGUCAUUAGAAAGUAUUGAUUUUAUGACAUUUUCCGCCUCUUAUUAUGUGACAACAGGAACCCUGGCUUCAGAAUGCUAAUAUCCAGUGAUAUCCAGGGACCACUUAAAUUCAUUUCAGCUGUGCUGAGUUGUGUGCAGCAAUCACACCAAGGAAUCCCUAUGGAUAACACUGUAGUUAGCAGAUAAACAGCAAUUUGGUGAGCUCUUGAUGAAAAUAAACACACUCGCACAUAUGAACCAUACAAUAUCUUAAUCAAGUAUUCAGAAGAACAUGUGAGUGCUUAAACUGGGGAGAAAGAGUAGGCGUCUCCUUGCACACAGUGGGCACAUCUGCUUCCUAUCCAACCUUCCUACAAUGUUUGAAGGGACCUUGUAAACACAAUUAUUUGCAUGUGCUUAAAAGCCGCCUCCUCGUGGUAAGUAAGAGUUCCUGUUCACAGAGAGACUUUAAAUAUACUCAGAUAUGAUUGCAAGGCCCAUCGGUACCUUCCUUGUGGGGAGGCUGCCUCUUGUGCUACCGUAUUUUUCUGUGUAUAAAACGAUAUUUCCCCCCAAAUUUUUUAAGUUUAAAAUUGGGGGUCGUCUUAGACACGGAAUGUUGCAAUUAAAUAUAUAAAUAAAUGCAUGCUGCCAUUCACAUACUUUCCCCCCAGCCUCCCCUCACUAUUGGCCUCACGACAAACCCUGGUCAGGUACUCCCCACCCACCCAGCAGCCCCCACUCCGGACAUUGUCCCUUCCACCUAGUUCCCUCAGCCGCCCCCUGGCUACCCAGACUCCCCCCCCCAUUCCCCAAGCGCACUCGCUCUGGCCGUCGCAACUCCCUGAUCAGUGUUCACAUCUGCCUGCGCUCGUGGUGUAAGUACGGUACAUACCGUAAAUACUGAGACAAAAGUGCAACACACAGGCAGGACAGCUGGAACUGCAGCUAUAGUGGAGUUACACUGAGCUGAUAGGAGCAGCCGCCAUUACACAGCUUGCCUCCCUGUUUGAUCUUUAAAUAUAUGGUACUAAAUAUACCAGUGUUUUGAAUAUUUAAUAAAAUAUCGAAGUUCUGUUUGGUGUUUAAAAUAUUUAUUUCUUAAUGUUGGGCUCAAAAAAAUAGGGGUCGUCUUAUACAUGGGGGCAUCUUAUACACGGAAAAAUGCAGUUUUCAUUCUUGCUUUUUGAAGUGAAGUAUUUAUGCUGUUAAAGAAAUCAGUGAGUAAAUGUAUUUUUGAAAAAGGUAAAAGGAAUGAUGCCCCUUAACAACAAAACCAGCAAGCAUGCCAUCCUCAGCUGCUUGGUAGCCAGCCUCUUCACUUGCCCCUGCUUCAAUUAAAACUUAAGGUAAGAUGUCAUGAAGUAAACCUCUACAUGGGCCUUUUUUGGGAUCAGGAAGCACAGGCAGCCAGGGAGGCUGCAGAGGGCAGAAAAAAAUGUUUCAUUAUCAAAUCAAAGGCAAUUCUAAUGCACCCUGAGGAGGCUGGGAAGUCACUUUCACAAGGGAGGAAACUGGAAAAAAUUGGACGACAGAAUUAAUCACAGAAUUAGCUACUCCUCACCUGCAGUCUGGCACUUGUCCAUUCCAGCUCUCUAAUACUCUGGUUUUAUCUCAUUACAACAUCUGUGUAGAUACAACCCCAGAGAUCACUAAUUUUUGCCUUUAUAGCAUAUGGCUUUGACAGAAUUUUUUACAGGAACAUAUUUGCCUUACCACAUAUAGUAAGCAGAAAAAUCUUAUCAGACUUCCCGGGGAUGGGAGGUAAGAUGUGUGGUGGCUGAUGCUGGCCGGUCAGCAGAGACCUUGCGUCACCCUAUAAAAGGAUGGUGCCACCCAAAAUUGGCUUCUUUGCUUCAGUGUGGCAGCUCACCCAUCCCCCUUUCAAUUAACUAGUGUCCCUUACAAGGGCAGUUGAAUUUGAUUUUAACUGACUGUUGGAGUACCUUCUUCUCAUGAAGAAGCUGAUCUGCAUGGAUCUCUUUUCAAAUGCCAAUCUUGUCCUUUGAUCUCAGGGCGAAGGAAGUUAUUCCCCUCCCCCAUCCCAAUUCUCAAAUUUAUGUACAAUCUCAAAUAUAUACAGUGUUCUGUGUAUUCUAUAUGUUCUGCUUUCUACUGGUAAACACAGAACUUUGACUCUCAGCUCAAUUAUUCCCAAAGGCACUACUCAAAAAAAAUCACUACAUGGCUUAAGCAUAGAUCGGGUUACAGGUUACACAGUUAAGGAGUCAAACUAGAGCUCUAAAGUUACAUGGCUGGACAUAAGCAAAUACCUGAUAUGCCACAUUUUCCCCUCAUUUAGAAGAGUGGGGCAGUCAUUCAUGCAUUUCAUGAGUGACAGGGCUAGGAAAGCAAGCAUGUAGGUUGGGUCUGCUUGCACCUGUACCAUCCAUGCCUGAAAGUGGACGUGGGGUCUGCUUAGGCUGUUUAUCUGAUGCAGGCUGAAAGAUCAUGCUAGUAAAAGAUGGGGUGGGAGCUGAUUCAGGUGACUUUCCUGCCAGGACAUCUUGCAUAGGCAGAGGGGGAGAAUGUUUCCUAGGGAACUACUCAGCCCCUCCCCAACAUCAGUCUCAGUGAUCUUAGUAGUAUAGUGGUAUCUCUGGAUAUGCACACCUCCAGUUGCGUAUCAAUCAGGAUGAGAACGUGGCAAACUCAGAAGUAUUUUUCUGGGUUUUGCCAUGCGUGCAUGCUCAGAAGCUGUCCCUCUGGUUCCAGAAACCUUGGGAGCUCCAGAACGGAUCCCAUCUGCAACUGGAGGUACCACUGUACCUGCCCGCUCCCCAGCAUUCAACUCAGCACUCUCCUCCCAUCCCUGCUUGCAGAGGGCUCAUGGCAAAAAUCAUUAUAAACAUUUAGGGCCAGCCCAAGACAUUUUGGCAUCUGAAGUGAACCACAAAAUGGUAUAUCCCCUGGCAAGGCAACAAGGGGGUGAAUGAAGACCUACAUCAGGAACACGUUUGGGGGGCGUAAAAUCAACCUUACCCACUGGUUGAAGUGGGAAUCAAAGGUCAUUGUGGGAGGGAAGGGCUCCACUCUGAAUCAUGCCAGGUUGGUGCAUAGCCUAAGAGACUCCAGAGGGCACCAACCACUAUUUCCUCCCUAGGGGUAGGAGCAGACCAACAUCACCUUCUAUUUGCCAGGAGGCCACUGUAGAGGCAUUAUUUGGAGGGUGGGGGCAGCAGAUCCAGCCUCCAAGGAGUGUGUUACAACUGUUGUUGCUUCUGCAGAAGCAGCAGCAGUAGACAAUGCAUUCCCUGGAGGCCAGAUUUUAUGACUGUGGAUCUUUCCUAGUCUGCAUCUGCACUUGCCUUGAUUGUAGUUGUUCAUAGAAGGGUAGGGUAUAAAUCAAUAAUGAUACUGAUAACAUUCCCAUGAGUAUCAGUAUAUAAAUGUUGGUCUUCAGCUAGUGAGUUGAGUCCCAUCAUGGCCUGAUCUAAGGAGGGCCUCAAGAGAAGUACUGCCACCAUACAUAGAUGGUAAAAAUAAUAGCAAUAUUAAUGAGAAAUACGUGCCCAAAUACAUGUCUGGGUUAAAGGUGAGUCUUGGUCUGCAGGAUUUGAAGACUCCUGUCCCAAAGCAACCAACACAAGAAGGGAUACAGGUAGCAAUGCGUAUGCCUGUAUAAAAUAUUUGUAUGAAUAGAAAACUGUGCUACAGAAAUAUGCCUCAUGGGCUUUGGCUUUCAUAUGCAUUAUACAUGUUAUAUAUGUAUUUCUUGCUUGUAAUUUUACACACCAUCACUUGGACAAUCAAUCAAUCAAUCAAUCAAUCAUUCAAUCAAUGAGUCACUCUAACAUAACAAGGCACUUGAUGUGAGCAAAACUCAGCUGGUCAAAGUCACAAAAUUCUGUGUAGAAAGUAUUUAAAAAUUGAUUCCUUCUUGAUUCCUACCUUACACAUUUCAUACACAGUUUCUAAGGGUUAAGCUUUCCCUAGUUUGGAAAAACACACACAGGGGAAAUACUCGCUAAACUUUGAAAAGUAUUUUUUACAACCUGUCAAGAGUGUUAAAUUCUACCAUAAUCUGAUUUUUU
rnacentral:lncRNA from 1 species